rnacentral:rRNA from 1 species
AUUGAACGCUGGCGGCAGGCUUAACACAUGCAAGUCGAGCGGGGGGAGGUAGCUUGCUACCUAACCUAGCGGCGGACGGGUGAGUAAUGCUUAGGAAUCUGCCUAUUAGUGGGGGACAACAUUUCGAAAGGGAUGCUAAUACCGCAUACGCCCUAAGGGGGAAAGCAGGGGAUCUUCGGACCUUGCGCUAAUAGAUGAGCCUAAGUCGGAUUAGCUAGUUGGUGGGGUAAAGGCCCACCAAGGCGACGAUCUGUAGCGGGUCUGAGAGGAUGAUCCGCCACACUGGGACUGGAACACGGCCCAGACUCCUACGGGAGGCAGCAGUGGGGAAUAUUGGGCAAUGGGGGGAACCCUGAUCCAGCCAUGCCGCGUGUGUGAAGAAGGCCUUUUGGUUGUAAAGCACUUUAAGCGAGGAGGAGGCUACCGAGAUUAAUACUCUUGGAUAGUGGACGUUACUCGCAGAAUAAGCACCGGCUAACUCUGUGCCAGCCGCCGCAGUAAGAC